CUGUUCAUUGCCAUUGGCUCUUUUGGGAAGGAAGUGAGAUGUAAAUUAUAUAAAAAUAUAAAAUUUAUAUCCCACUUUCUUCCCAAAGGAGCCAAUGGCAAUGAAGCA